AAGGUACUCCCUCCAUUCGGAAUUACUUGUCGUAGAAAUGGAUGUAUCUAGAUGUAUUUUAGUUCUAGAUACAUCCAUUUUCAAGACAAAUAAUUCCAAACGGAGGGAGUAAAUA
rnacentral:pre_miRNA from 1 species